CAGUCGCCACGGGAAUACGUAGGGUGCAAGCGCUAAUCGGAAUUACUGGGCGUAAAGCGUGCGCAGGCGGUUUGUUAAGACAGAUGUGAAAUCCCCGGGCUCAACCUGGGAACUGCAUUUGUGACUGGCAGGCUAGAGUAUGGCAGAGGGGGGUGGAAUUCCGCGUGUAGCAGUGAAAUGCGUAGAUAUGCGGAGGAACACCGAUGGCGAAGGCAGCCCCCUGGGCCAAUACUGACGCUCAUGCACGAAAGCGUGGGGAGCAAACAGGAUUAGAUACCCCGGUAGUCCCUGUCUCUUAUAC
rnacentral:rRNA from 1 species